AGAUGUUGAUAGUCGGAAUGAACAGAGUAAGGAUAUUCUCUGGAACAAAUCGUACUAGUGGGUUGGUGUCUGUAUCUUAAAGGCAGGAACAGAGGCUCUGUGCCUCCUCCACCUGUUAGUCCAGCCAGGCACCCCACCCUGGAUGCAGCUUUGGGCCUGAGCCUGAGAGGGAAUGUCAUCCUGUAGAAGAAGGAAAAUCCAGGUACUGCCUUGAAGGAGAGGCAGAUUUUCAUGAGGAGAAGUGGAGUAAGCAAAGAGAAGGAGAUCCAGGCAGAGGACACAGCGUGGGCAAAGGACUGGAGACGUGCACAAUUGUGACGUGCUUGGGAAGUGGCAGGAGGCAAAGUGGCUCCUGGACCUGGUGGCUCCCCAGCACACAGGCGGGAUCUCACCCUAUUCGUGCCCAGUUUCAGUGAUUUUGUGGAAAAGAAAAGAUUCUCCCAGACAUUCGCUUCGUUGUUCUGACAGCUGAAGCUCUCUUCACAGGCACAUUAACAUGACCUCAUUAGUUUCUGCAUCUACUCUUCUAACCACAUAAAACGGAGUGCAGUAGGAGCCAAUCAUGCUAAUUACAUCAGAUCGGUUUGCAUAUUCAUAAACCAUUUUCUGUUUUAUGGACAGCAAAAAUAAACACAGUAUCUCUUUAAUAAUUUUAAGUGGGUCACUUUCAGGACUGUAUCUGUUUUAAAUAAAUUAUCAUAUUGUUAAAGGCCA